rnacentral:rRNA from 1 species
AUGACUGAUGUUGAUUGUGAGGCUGUUGUUAGUGGUGGAGAUGAUGCUCAUGGUGUUCCAUUGAGUAGUGGGCGCGAUUUUGGUGCCAAAGUUGCUGAUGAGGAUUUUGGUGCUGCUAGCAUACUUGAUGGCAAACCGUCUGGUGUUGGUAUUGCUGGGAAUGAAAAUCUUUCCGAUUUUGAAGAUUUGCCGCCGGAAAAUUUCCCGCCUGGAGGGCUUGAUUAUCGUGAUGCAUUGCAAGAUGCUUCUAGCAUGGAGGAGGAACUACAUCAUCGUCAAACACUGAUAGUGCAGAAAGUGGAAAUGUUGUUAAGGUUGAUAUGUUUUUCUUUGCUGUUACGAGGUUGCGCAAGAACCGUGCAAAAUGUGACAAGCCGAUGUUUCAAAAUAAAGAGUGUGAUGCCAGUGUUGGUUCUAUUGCUAAAGCGUUUGUCCCCACGGGCAUGCUCAACUCAGACAGUGCUGACGUUGUUUUAUAUUCUCUACGUUAGAAGUACCGAGACACUGACAAGUUGA